rnacentral:rRNA from 1 species
UACAGAGGGUGCGAGCGUUAAUCGGAAUUACUGGGCGUAAAGCGCGCGUAGGCGGCUUUGCAAGUCGGGUGUGAAAUCCCCAGGCUUAACCUGGGAACUGCAUUCGAGACUGCAUUGCUAGAGUAUAGGAGAGGGAAGUGGAAUUUCCGGUGUAGCGGUGAAAUGUGUAGAGAUCGGGAGGAACACCGGUGGCGAAGGCGGGUCUCUGGGCAAUUCCUGACGCUGAGGCGCGAAAGCGUGGGGAGCAAACGGG